GGUAUGUACUAGCCUGCCGAUUCCUCCUUCUUGUAGAACCGUAAUGCCAUUAAUUUGGUGUUGCGGGGAAACAGGACUGUUACUUUGAAAAAAUUAGAGUGUUUAAAGCAGGCUAGCGCCUGAAUACAUUAGCAUGGAAUAAUGAAAUAGGACGUUCGAACCUAUUUUGUUGGUUUCUAGGAUUGACGUAAUGAUUAAUAGGGAUAGUUGGGGGCAUUAGUAUUCAAUUGUCAGAGGUGAAAUUCUUGGAUUUAUUGAAGACUGACUACUGCGAAAGCAUUUGCCAAGGAUGUUUUCAUUAAUCAAGAACGAAAGUUAGGGGAUCGAAGACGAUCAGAUACCGUCGUAGUCUUAACCGUAAACUAUGCCGACUAGGGAUCGGAUGAUGUUAAUUUUUUAAUGACUCAUUCGGCGCCUUACG
rnacentral:rRNA from 1 species